CUCAGUGUCAACCAGCAGGCCUCACAUCUCUGUUUAAAUGGAAGAAGCUAAGCAGGGCCAAGGCAGCCACCAUCUCUGGGACAUUUGCCUCUGGUUUGUAUAAACUUGUGUGAUGCAUGCAGCCUGCAGACCCUGGAGAGAGUGAGGCUGCAGGAUGGAGCAGGAGCUAAAAGAGAUUUGGAGAGUGGCGUCUCCUGGUGACCUGCAAGGUCUCGGCAGGACUCCCCACACUGCCUUUUCCCUGUUAUCUGCUCAGAUCUGUGACUUCCUCCGCGGAGCCACAGUCCAUAGAAUCCUCGGCCAGCAGGUCCCCUAUGCCACCAAGGGCAACCAGUGGGUAGGAUACGACGACCAGGAAAGCGUCAAAAGCAAGGUGCAGUACCUGAAGGACAGGCAGCUGGCGGGCGCCAUGGUAUGGGCCCUGGACCUGGAUGACUUCCAGGGCUCCUUCUGCGGCCAGGAUCUGCGCUUCCCUCUCACCAAUGCCAUCAAGGAUGCACUCGCUGCAACGUAGCCCUCUGUUCUGCACACAGCACGGGGGCCAAGGAUGCCCCGUCCCCCUCUGGCUCCGGCUGGCCGGGAGCCUGAUCACCUGCCCUGCUGAGUCCCAGGCUGAGCCUCAGUCUCCCUCCCUUGGAGCCUAUGCAGAGGUCCACAACACACAGAUUUGAGCUCAGCCCUGGUGGGCAAAGAGGUAGGGAUGGGGCUGUGGGGAUAGUGAGGCAUCGCAAUGUAAGACUCGGGAUUAGUACACACUUGUUGAUUAAUGGAAAUGUUUACAGACCCCCAAGCCUGGCAAGGGAAUUUCUUCAACUCCCUGCCCCC
rnacentral:sRNA from 1 species